ensembl:lncRNA
GGAGUCGCCCCCUGCUGGUCACUACAGAGAAGUAGAGUCAUUUCCUCAUAGACGUCUAUGGGAGCAGAGGAGUCGCCCCCUGCUGGUCACUACAGAGAAGUAGAGUCAUUUCCUCAUAGACGUCUAUGGGAGCAGAGGAGUCGCCCCCUGCUGGUCGGAAGGAAGAACACAAGUUCAGCUCGUCAGGUGGAAGUCAAUUAACUCCCAACUGCAAUUACAUGACAUUCCAUUAACUGCAGGUGAAUGUUUCCUGUUUAAUAACGCUGCCCUCAUCAGAACAAGUUGAGCAAAAAACUUUUAGAAGAAGCGUGACCUCUCCGGCCCAGAGGGGGGUUUUAAUUAUGAGGAAAGAAAUCUGGUAAUAUGGAGGGAUAUAACAUCUGACACCGUAAUUAAUCUUAUGAUUGUGCCGAUAAACCAAAAUAACCCCCCACCUCUGACCCGACUCCAGUCCUUCACAAGCCGUGACCUCAUCACAUUACACAUGCAUCAUUCUGGUCACCUUUUUGGACACCUGCACGAUCUUCACUCGGAAACGAAGGAGCCCUGGCGGCGGCUUUGCUGUUGUUGCAGCUGCGCUCUCUCCCCCGGUAGCUGGCCGCUCAAACCAUUUUACAUUUAAAUUUGUUGGAUAAUAAAUUAUUCAGCAAUAUAAUUCCGAAGAAAUAUUUCUGAGAAAAAGCAACCCACCUGCGUAGCCAACGGUGUCUUUUUCCCUCCCUGUCUGGCAUUAAAUUACACCCACAACAACAUUCUCAUUAAUCUUCAUGCGUUCCAAAGGGCCUCGGGGAGCAUUACUCACUUUUAAAAAUAGAUUCCGGUUCCAUGACAAUGAUCAGACAAUCGUGGGAGUCCGUGAGUUUAUUUCUGGGGACUUUUCCUCUGUGGGAUUCUGGCAGGCAGAAGUUUGCUCAGAUCACGAUGUCUGUUGCCUUUUAUGUGCCGAGUGGAUGUCGGCAAAGAGCUUCAGAGAAAUCUGAAAUUGCGUAUUGAAUUGAGGAAGCAAACCCUCAAAGGCGGAACCCUGGCAGAGCGCCCUCUCAUGCUGCCAACACCCCGACAAUGGUAAUUGCUUGUCAUAUUUAGGGAAAUUAUGGAGGAAACACCGAUGCCACACUGAAAUCAAUUUUUUGUUUUAAAUUCAAAGCCCAUUUGAUUCAUUGUAUUAUUACGCGGUCCUGGCAGGGAGCACCGCCUCCACGGCUCACUGACUCACUGCCUUUAACGUCGGAUCCCGUUGUUUCAUCCUCUCCGUCUGAGUAUCCGACAUUGGUUCUUCUGGCAGAGACAGCGCUUCGUAAUACGGAGAGCGACGUAGCAUCUAAAGGAGUCCGGGGCUCUGGGCCUCGCCACAUGUAGGAUGUGUAAUAUGUGACGGCAUCAUUCCGUGAAGAGAUCUUCUCAUACACAUUGUCAUUACAUUAUGAUAAUGAAAAGGUACCGUUGUCCGUAAAACACGAGAGACUUGAGAACCCUAAAAACACUGUGAGGUACGCGGCGUGUUUUAGGGUUUACUGUCGUAGAAACGUGACCUGACAGUUCAGAAUAUUUCCACUUCCCUGUGGGAAUGCAGACACACCUCGUCCUCUGCAAAAAUCACAACAACUGUGUGCGUGUGUGUGUGUGUGUGUGUGUGUGUGUGUGUGUGUGUGUGUGUGGAAGAAAAGCGGCAGGGAAAGAAAGAACUGAGCGCAGAGGCGAAUAAUCUGAAUUCAAAAGCAAUCAUUUGUUCUCAGCUCAUGAAGCCGUCUUGGGUGGAAGGGUGGAGGUAAAGAAUGGAGGUAAAGGGUGGAGGUAAGGGGUGGAUGUAAAGGAUGGAGGUUAAAGAUGGAGGUAAAGGGUGGCUGUUGAAGAUGUAGUUAAAGGGUGGAUGUAAAGGAUGGAGGUAAACGGUGGAUGUAAAGAGUGUAGGAAAGGGGUGGAUGUAAAGGAUGUAGGUAAUGGGUGGUGGUUAACGAUGGAGGUAAAGGAUGGAUGUAACAGGUGGAGGUUAAAGAUGGAGGUAACGGGUGGAUCUGAGGGUCUCACAGGGUCAUCUGCUCCCAUGUGGACCUCCAGUUGUUACGUGAAGAAUAAACUGCGUUACAAUCACAGUAAUUAGCUGUGAUUUAACCACCCCGUUGACGUAGAAAAAGACACCACCUUCAGAUGGAAAAGUGGGUCCACACUUUGUGUGAAUAAUCGACCUGUGCAUCCGAUUCAGAAAGUCAUUUAUGCGCCUGUGAUCAUCACGCGGAUCAAAACAAAGUUCUCAUUCUGUAAGCUCCUCUAUAAAAAGGAGGGUUGGUUUUUGGCGCCGGCCGUUUCAUUUUUACAAUUUUGAUGAAGUUGUCGAUGAACUUAGCGCUCUGCAGCCUUUAUCGCUCUGCGGCUUCAUGAAAUGACGUUUCAAAGAUUUUUACGACUCAACUGAGAUCGUGAAUUACACCUCGGUGAGCGUUGGUUCUUCUGCACGUUCUAAUUACGCUACGAGACGAGAGACAAAGUUCUCAUUUAGACCCGCGAGUGUUAUGAUGGUUUCUGGGGUUUCUUUUGAUUUACGUCGCUUCUGCAAGUGAGAACUCCACGACUGAAGUAAAGUAAAUGUCAGUGUUUUUCUCAACCUUCACUGCAGGUGGAGGGCAGAACUUCCACAUGCAUAAUACAGCAUCCGCCUCAAACACCAUCACUUCUAGGACUCUGUGACGGUGUUUCUCCCCUUAAAGCGGCUGCACACCGAGUCAAAAUGAUCGAGUGCCAUCUUGCUUUUCGGGCAGUAGUUUAGUCAACGUCCUUUCCCGGUGUUGCGCAACACCCACUGGCGUCCAUGUUGCCGUUGCUUCAGUCGUCUUCUCGCGACUCAACCACUUAAAGAUCGAGCAUGUCGUGUUUUCCAGAUUGUGCUCUGUUUGCAAAUUAAAUCUGGGACCAAUCGUUCUUAUUUUCCAGUAAGAUGUUGUUACACAAUAUAAUAUUAUUUGGUAUUGAUUUGAGCUUCGUCCCCUUUUCUUCCUUCCAGCUCCUCAGUCGUUCGAGCUCAUUAAAGUCGCUCUCUUGUCAACUUCGUCCCCUCUAAUUCUCACCCAAUUACAACCCAAAUGAACCAGAGGACUGUUUAACCGGCUCUGCCUCUUCCCGUAGCUGAAUGUGUGACGGUAACGAACCCUGAGGUUCAGAAACGAAUCGCUCAGUGCCGAAUUAGUCCCCCUUCUACAUGGGUAACAUUCAAUGAUUCCACGUGGACCCCCCAGCGAUAACGUGAUCGCUGACAGCGGAUGGACCCGAUGGUGGCACCCAGCCGGGGAUGGAGAGGAUUCUGCCUGAGCCGACUUCUACACCUUCACGCGCAGCGUUCUAUAACUGGGUCGGUUUGAUUAAUGUCAUUGUCUCAGCCUGAGGAGCAAAGGCGCUAUAAAAGAGCUGGGCGAUUAUGAGGGAGGGGGAGAUAUGGACCAAACCGCCAGGAGAAAAAGCAAAGGGUGAACUAGAGCGAAGGAGCGGUUGGAAUGUGAGAGGAGCAGCAGGAAGCAACAGACAGAAGAUAAUUAGCCUCCAGAGGGAAGGAAAGCUCACGUAUUACAGCGGCCGUCCUCGACUCAUGCAGGGAGACACGUCACGGGGGGGGG